GCCCCCUUAGUAAAAUGGUAUUACGCAUCCAUGGUAAGGAUGAAUCGGUGGUCCGAUUCCGCCAGGGGGCACCA
rnacentral:tRNA from 1 species